AAUUACAUACUUUAUAUAAAAGAUUUAGCUUGCACCUAACAAUAGAGCAAUCACUCUGUAAUUA
rnacentral:tRNA from 1 species